rnacentral:lncRNA from 1 species
AGCGCGCCCGGAGUGAUCCGGCUGCGGGCCAGGGUCUGGGAAGGGGGUGGUGGGUCGCCGUUUCAUCAGAAGCCGGAGGACGGGCGCCAGGGGGCAACUUCCUACAGGAGGGCGUCCCGUUAGAAUGACAGGGCUUUUGCAAAAGUCUGACACCCGUGGCACAGAGCGCCCCAGAUAUGGAGGGUUUCACAGUUGACUCUUGAACAAUGUGGGGGCUUGGGGCACCAACCCCCUGUGCAGUUGAAAAUCGACAUAUAACUUUGACUCGCCAAAAACUUCACUACAAUAGCCUGCUGCCAACCUGAAGUCUUACCAAUAACAUCAACAGUCAAUUAAACAUAUUACUAGGCUGAAAAGGAGAAGGAAGUGAAGGGGUUGGUCUUGCCGUCUCACGAGUGGCAGAGGCAGGAGAAAAUCCAAAUCAGGACAGGCAGAAGGAUGCCUUCUUCCACGCAAGCACUGAACCAAACCACAGUAGAAGAAACAGAAUCAAAUGAGAGAGAUUCAACUGACCAGUUUAAGGCUUAUCAGAAAGGAACAAAGACAUACCAAAAUAGACCAUCCUUGCACAAACACAGACACACAGGGACAAGGCACAAGUGCAUCACUUACACCAGCACAGGUGCUAGCAAGAAACCCAUUCAUAUGAACACUUUAUGCGGAUUUUAAAGGGAAAACUCUUCUUUUAAACAUAAAGGACUUUUAUCUUUGUAGUAUCCACAUUUAUUCACUCAUUCAUUUGAUGCAAUUUAUGUGCCAGAUGCUUGGUCAGGACUGAGGAUGUGUAGUGGACAAGCCAGGAUUGCUGCAGUGAUGUGCUCACCAUUGGAGAGAGGAAUGACUGUCAACAAAUCACUACAGGCCCAUAUGUUAAGUUCUUUAAUAGUACGGUGACUGGAACUACGGGACGGAACCCAAAAUGCAGUCACCCAAACGCAUCAUGUCCAUUUUGAUCCCUACAGCAAUUAAGCCUUGCUUUCACAGCCGCUGAAGCAGACCAACAGAUGGUUGUUUAAUUGUUUAUAAAACCAAACAUUAACUACUGGGCUUGGCAACGUAUCUCUUCUCCUGAAGCCUCUCAAAGCAGAUAUCAGACAACACUCUGGAAGAUGCUGAGAAACAUCAAAAGAUCAAAGGUCGAAUCUUGGAAUUCAGAUCUGUCAUUGACCUGCCUUAUAACUUCUGUCAAACUGCAAUGUGGUGAGAUUGUUCACAUGUUUCACAGCAGUGUUGCAUGGAAUGACUAAUGGCCUUCAGUUGGUUCCUGUGUAGAUGGUAAAAUGGAAAGCUGUUCACAAAACCCCUUUCUAGCAAAGAUGCGUCUCUGCCAAGUCACAUAUGUUGGCCAGAGGUGUGUUUAGGGAACUUGGCCCUCUUCAGAAAAAUACAGUCUCCUUGUUCCUGGCCAGAUUUUAAUGUUGCUCUACCUUUUAGCUUAUGAAGCUUCAGGCUGUCUGUACAAAUGCUGUCUGUUUUAAUAGAGUGCUAAUUGCAGUAACGGGCAGGGCACUUAUGUCUGUAAUCAUCACAUCAACGCCACUUGGCUUAAUCCUUGAAAAUGGACAACAAGCUAUUACUAAACCAUAAAAAUCACAAAUUGUGCGUGCUGACCUAGAGACACCUCCAAUCAAUGAGAAGCAGCCUGAGAGCCACCAAAGGCUCUUCAAUGUCCAGCUGUCACCGACAUUCCCCAAGAACUUCAAAGAUUUUAAAGGCCACCAUUUCCAUGCACGUGUCUCUUGGCGUUGCUGCUGUUUACACUAUGUGGAAGCUGGACACUCAGCCUGUUUCGGGGGGACCCAGGCUAAAGGUUCUGCCCUAGGUGUGCCUCUUCCUUAUCCUCCUGGGUUCAGCUUCAACGUCACAUGCCCAGACUUUCAGCCUCCAGGACUUAUACCAGCACCCACUCUCCCUCCUGAUUCCCAGGCCUUCAGCCUUAGACUGGGAGUUAUAGGAUUGGCUCUCCUAGUAAAGGGUAAGAUAGAUGUAUUCUUUUAUAUAUAAUAUAUAACACAAUGGCUCUCUGUCUGCAUGGGUUCUGAAUCUUCUAAUUCAGCCAACCAUGGAUCAAAAAUGUUCAAAAAAUAGAAAAAUAACAAUACAACAAUACAAAUAAUACAAAUUAAAAAGACAGUAUAACAACCA